AAUAUAUUCCCUCCGUCCGGAAAUACUUGUCAUCAAAAUGGAUGUAUCUACAACUAAAAUACAUCUAGAUACAUCCAUUUCAAUGACAAGUAUUUCUGGACGGAGGAAGUACAUA
rnacentral:pre_miRNA from 1 species